UAAUUCAAGCUCCGAGCAUAACAUAUCCAAUAUCAAAUGCUAGUUUUCAACAAUAAGUUCUUGCAUUUCAAGAAAAAGUUGUUAAAUGGAUAAGAGAUAUAUCAAAUAAUUUAUUAAAGAUAAACUUCAAUUGCUCAACAAACUCCAGUAUCUUUAUUUGAUAAUGAGUGUGUAAAAUCAAAAGAGGAGUUUUUUCUGUUUGAAGAAAAUAUGAAAGUGGAUUUAUUCGUAGAAGAAAAAAUUGUACAACUAAAGCAAAUAGGAGGGCUUGACUAUAAAGAUACAAUAAAGAACAUAAUGAAGCAAUUUUUUUCCGAUUUUGCC